ensembl:snoRNA SNORA59A small nucleolar RNA, H/ACA box 59A
GCCCAGGGUAUGUUUAUGGGGUGAUGCUGCCCGGGGUGAUGCUGCCCUCCAAGCUGGCCCAUGGGUGACUGUGGGAAUGUUACUGCCUCACAACAUUUGUGCCUCAGUUACUCAUAGAUGUAGUGAGGGUGACAAUACUUACUCUCGUUGGUGAUAAGGAACAGCU